rnacentral:rRNA from 1 species
AUUGAACGCUGGCGGCAUGCCUUACACAUGCAAGUCGAACGGCAGCGCGGACUUCGGUCUGGCGGCGAGUGGCGAACGGGUGAGUAAUACAUCGGAACGUACCCUGUUGUGGGGGAUAACUAGUCGAAAGAUUAGCUAAUACCGCAUACGACCUGAGGGUGAAAGUGGGGGACCGCUAGGCCUAGCGCAGCAGGAGCGGCCGAUGUCGGAUUAGCUAGUUGGUGGGGUAAAGGCCCACCAAGGCGACGAUCAGUAGCUGGUCUGAGAGGACGAUCAGCCACACUGGGACUGAGACACGGCCCAGACUCCUACGGGAGGCAGCAGUGGGGAAUUUUGGACAAUGGGGGCAACCCUGAUCCAGCAAUGCCGCGUGUGUGAAGAAGGCCUUCGGGUUGUAAAGCACUUUUGUCCGGAAAGAAAUCGCGCUGGUUAAUACCUGGCGUGGAUGACGGUACCGGAAGAAUAAGCACCGGCUAACUACGUGCCAGCCGCCGCAGUAA